rnacentral:tRNA from 1 species
GCGUGUAGUGGUUAGGUGCCGGGUUUGAUUUGAAGUCAUACUUUUCACAUUAGAUUGUGAUGCUCGCU